UACGAAGGGGGCUAGCGUUGCUCGGAAUCACUGGGCGUAAAGCGCACGUAGGCGGACUCUUAAGUCGGUGGUGAAAUCCUGGAGCUCAACUCCGGAACUGCCUUUGAUACUGGCGACCUUGAGUCCGGGAGAGGUGAGUGGAACUGCGAGUGUAGAGGUGAAAUUCGUAGAUAUUCGCAAGAACACCAGUGGCGAAGGCGGCUCACUGGCCCGGUACUGACGCUGAGGUGCGAAAGCGUGGGGAGCAAACAGG
rnacentral:rRNA from 1 species